rnacentral:rRNA from 1 species
UAACCUGCCUCUUAGCGGGGGAUAACUAUUGGAAACGAUAGCUAAUACCGCAUAAAAGUCGAUAUCGCAUGAUGUUGACUUGAAAGGUGCAAAUGCAUCACUAAGAGAUGGACCUGCGUUGUAUUAGCUAGUUGGUGAGGUAACGGCUCACCAAGGCGACGAUACAUAGCCGACCUGAGAGGGUGAUCGGCCACACUGGGACUGAGACACGGCCCAG